AUAUGGAUUAGGGAGUCGUAGGCAGUUGUCUGAAAAAUGAUAAGAACUCGGGCCGAAUGACGGCACCACUAAAGUUAUUGCCAACAUACAAUUUCAAAAAAUUUUAUUAUAAAACUUUAUUAUAAAACAAAAAGAUGACAGCAACUCAAUAUAUAUUUCUUCUGUCUUCCCUGAUAGAAUUGCAUAUACCAAUGGAAAACUCUAUAACCAAAUAUUGAAAUCUUGGAAGAUUCCAGGUGCAGAAUAAACAUUUUCUGAAGAUUUGGAGCUAAAUAAAAAUAAUAUACAGGAUUUCAAUAUAGUUGAAGAUGAGCUAGUAUUUGAUGGUAUGGAGGUGUUAAGUGCUGAUGAUAGUAAUGAUUUGGAUAUGGAAUAUGAAGUACCAAAAAGUAGAGAAAGUAUGCCAGGUAGCUGGAAAAGAAAUGUCAAUCAGAAAUUAAGAAUGAAAGGAGACCCAUAUUUAGGAUAUAGCAGGUCAAGAAUAAAUCAAGUUUUACAUAAUGUUGACUGAGUAGGUAAAAAUAUUAGACCAGCUUGUGCAAGUGAAAAAUCACAAAAAGGAAAUGCAAUGAAGUAGCUGAAGUAUAUAGAUUAAAAAUAUUUAAUCGUUUUUGGAAAAACUUGAACUGGGAUGAAAAAAAAACUUAUGUAACUUCUUUAAUAAUAACCACUUCUGUGAAACAAAGAACUGUAGAAUCAUCACGAAGGAACAGCACUAUGUCUUAUAAUUUAAAAAUUCAUGAUGCAUAUUAGUGUGUAUGUAAAACAAUGUUUUUAAAUACACUUGGGUUAGGUGAAAAACAAGUUCUAACUUGGUGCCUAACUGAAAAAGAUAAUGAGAUGAAUUAUGAGAAAAAUAAAGAAAAUAACAAAAGCUCUACUUUAAGAAUUACUCCAGAAAAAAGAAAAAGGAUAUUUGUAACUG